CGUUGCAACCGCGAAAUAUACUCGACGUGGCUCAUUUGCACGACUGACUUCUCCUCUUCGUUUGCCCUGUCCCCGUCGAACGAUUUUCACAUCUUCCUGGCUUAUCGAUGUUUACAAUGUGUCACAACACGAGCGUGUCGCCGCGAGCGCUUUUAGACUUUGGCGCGGGGCCAACGUUGCUACGUGUCCUCUCUGCCCGAAACUCAGAAAAACCUUGCUCCGUUCGUAAUGACUUUCCUCCGUCUUGUCAGCAACGGGUAAAUAACAAACAACGCGGUUAGGUCGCUGGACCUCGGGGCCACGUUUCAUACACAGGUAACGCGACGAAAUUCCUUCGACUAUAUAUACAAAUCACUUAAAUUAGCGAGAAUCAUGAAAUCGGUAUCGUCGACACGACGCAAUUAUACUGGAAAUAGAUUUUAGAAUUUCGCGAUAAGAUAGUGCCAUUCUAUGAUCCGUGAUGCGUGGUUUCACUAUGACACUCCAUCCACUUCUUUGCACAAUGCGAUCACUUCCGACGAGAGUAGAAAACAAUAGAGACGAUACGAGAACCACGCGGGAAAGGAAUUAUCACCAGGCGCGUACACAAACUCCGUCGGGUACGGGAUCGAGCGAUGCGUCCGUGUUGA